rnacentral:tmRNA from 1 species
GGGGCUGACACGGUUUCGAUCGUGAUCUGGCCGUUGCCAUGGGAGCGUGCCGAGGGUGCCCACGCGACCUCGCUAAUCACGCGCGGGAACACACAACUGCCAACGAUGAGAUGGCACUCGCAGCUUAAACACCUGCGACGAUCCGCCUCCGACGCCUCGUAGGAGGGUCGGAUCGACAUCACGAGGCUCAACCCCGCGGACUUGACCACCGGGCCAAGGGGAACACUGAACGGUGGUAUGGGACACGGAUGCUGUCUGGCUCCGGAGCACCGUGCCCGAGAACAUCCGGAACCUACGCACGUAGAGCCCAGCGC